GAUGAAGAACGUAGCGAAAUGCGAUAAGUAAUGUGAAUUGCAGAAUUCAGUGAAUCAUCGAAUCUUUGAACGCACAUUGCGCCCCUUGGUAUUCCGAGGGGCAUGCCUGUUCGAGCGUCAUUAUAACCCCUCAAGCUCAGCUUGGUGUUGGGGCCUGCCGCGCGGGCAGCCCUUAAAAUCAGUGGCGGUGCCAUCUGGCUCUAAGCGUAGUAAUUCUUCUCGCUAUAGAGUCCCGGUGGAUGCUUGCCAUUAACCCCCAAUUUUCUAUGGUUGACCUCGGAUCAGGUAGGGAUACCCGCUGAACUUAAGCAUAUCAAUAAGCGGAGGA
rnacentral:misc_RNA from 1 species